GUAUCCUUGUCCGUUUCUUCUCAUUUCUGUUAUGUCAUCACGUCUUAAGCACGUGCUUAUGACUCUGUAAUCCUUUUCUUUAAAUAUAAUUAAAAACAUCGGAAAUUAAACGUACUUUGCACCUUCGCCACUUGAAAAUUGAAAACCAGCUCCCCUUUUUGGUGAAACUGAUGGUUCUUCCUCCAACGGCAAACGAACGCCGAUCAUUGCUGCUGCCAAUCACGAUCAUCGGCGGGAAAAUCCUGCAAGCUUCAGCUCUCUCUCCAGUCACCAGAGCAGAACUCCUCCAACUCAGUUGUCAUUUUGAUCGUGAGCCUCUAAUUUUUGUCAGUUGUUUCGUGUUUUUCUUUUUUUUUUUACUAGUUUAAGUCAUUGCUCGUCAAAUUGUUACUAUAUUGUUUAAAGAAACAUUUCUAUCCCAAGAAAAAAAUUGGGAAAAGUUACUAUUAAACACGAAAAUUAAGAAAAUCUUUGUCAUAUUUCAUACAUAUUACUUUGUUUUGGACCCAGGGGCAGAGCGUCCCUUUAUCAUGGGCGGCCAUGGCCCCCAAAAUUUUUAAAAUUUUUUAUAUAUUAUAUAUUUUGUAAUGACUUUUUAAAAUAAUUUUUUAUUAAAUAAUUAAUAUAAUUAAAAAAAUAAUAAAAUAACGUUACAAACUUCAUUCAAUUUUAUUCAAAUUUUUUAAGUUUUUCACUCAAUUUUUUUUUUGUCUUUAUAUUAUAAAAUUACAAAAAAAAAAUUAUUUAAUUUUUUAUUUAUAUAUUUUUUUAAUUUUAUUCUAUUUAUUCAUAUAUUUUAAGUUUCUAUAGAUUUUUUUUAAUUUCUAUCAAUCAUCAAUUAUUUUUUUAUUAUAUAGAUUCUAUUUUCUACUUAUCAUAUUUUUUUCUAUUACGUAAAUUUUAUUUUAAUAAUUUUAAUUUUUAAAAAUUAAAAAAGUAUUAUAUAUGUAAUUUUCAAAUAUAAGUUCUAGCAUUGCAUUAUUAAUUAUUGUUUAAAAUUUCAUCAAUAUAUUAUUUUUUAUUAAUCUUCAUUAUAUAAAAAAAAUUAUCUUGAAUAUAUAUUUUUAAUGUGUUUUACGUUUUAUAUUUAGUUGAAAAAAAAUUAUCUUGAGUAUAAAAAAAUUAUUAAUUAUAUAUAUCGUAUUUAACUAUUUAUAUUUUAUGAAUUAUAAUUUAAUAUUUAGUAUUAUAAGCUUAAAUAUAAUAACAUAAAAAUAUUAGAUGUUGACUGCAUUAAUUUUUUAGUUGUUUAUAUUAAAAAAGAUAAAAUUUCAAAAUAAAAUAAAUAAUAACUUUUUUACAAAUAAUUUAAUUAUUUAUAUUAAGAAAAAUAUUAGCAUGUUAAAUAAAACUUUCCUAGAGUACUAUUAUAAGUUUUUUUUAUUUCUUUUGAUUUACAUAUUAUAUAAAAUUAUUAUUUAUUAUAAAUUUUUUAGAUUAUUAAUGGUUAAGUUCAAUAUAUUAAUUUUAAAAUUUUUUAAUUUUUAUUUUUUUUCACCUUUGACUCUUUGAAAAAAAAUUAACGAGCUCCACACCCCUGUGUGGACCUAUACUAUAGGAAUUAUAAUUUGCUUCAAAACACUUUAAAAAAAACAAAGAAGUACUAUGGAGUUUCCUUUUAAGAAUAAGAGAAACUUAGAAACAGAGAAGAUUGUCAACUUUUCGCUUGGGAAUGGGAAUAGUUAACCGUUUCAUAAGAUCUUUUCUCCCAAUUGAUUUGUAGGUGAACGUGAACUUCUCAUAAUGGAGCGAUUGAAUAAUAUUGGGCCUUACUUUUGGGCCUCUGUUUAACCAAAUGUCUCGAAUCUCGAUAUCUUAGUUUGGAGUACAUUGUCGAUUUUAAGCUUUUACUAAUAAUUUGAGUAUUCUAACACUUGUGUGCA
rnacentral:lncRNA from 1 species